rnacentral:lncRNA from 1 species
UUUGUCAAAACGAGAGCGCGCAUUUUCUAAAUUCAAAUUGACAGACACCAUUUUUAGGUCAAGAUACUCCAAUGCCUCCCUUCUUAUGGCCCUUUCGGGAAAAGGAGAUUCCCCCAAAAUUUGGAUUAAGCGAUCAUCUGGUUCGCUGAGAAGGAGAUUAAAAAGCUGGUCCGUCAAAUUUGCUUUCAAUUCGAGGACUGUAAUGUCGAAGAUUUCAUUGGAUAGAGCACUGUGAUAGUUCCGAAUGUUGAUGGCUUCGUUCAGAUUCAGAUUGUUUCUCACUAACGUUGCGUAUUCACCGUGGUUAAGUUGAGGAGGCAACCGAUCGAUUAAUCGGUUUUCGAGGUUUCGUAUCCGCGAGAACAGCUCUGCUUCCACGUGCUCGUUUUGCGCGCGAAAGUUGUCCAAGACUUGUGCCGCGGGUACUUCCCCCUCCUGUAAAACAGCAGUCCAGCUUGAGCUGGAUCUUGACAGGGAUUCCAGAGCGCCAGUCCAGCUUGAAGAAGCAUCGCCCGAAUGAUCCGCCGCAAAGACAACCUUAUUGGGAUUAGUGAUAGAAAGGCAGAGCGCCAUUAGGACAAAAAGUAAAAUCGAACUGACAAAUCGGACUAAAGGCUUAACCAUCCACAAACUUAGAUUGAUAAAGAUCUUACUGAAAAAAGCAGCAAAUAAUAUCUUUCUAUUUCUAGCCGUGGAAAACAAUUUCAUUUUUCUUUCAUUCUUUUCAUUCUCCGCUCCCCCAAAAAAAGGAGAGACUUCAUUUUCACUGUACGAGUAGUGAAAAACUAUAGUUUACUUUUAUUGGUUGUUGACCAACGGAAGACAUGGGAGUUUUGGGCGUAAAAGUGGCUUUCUUCUCUUAAUUCAUUCUUUUGAACAGCUUGAAAACUUUUUUGGUUGUUGACCAAACCAAGUCAAAAUGUGGGAACAAAUGCAUUCUUUUGAACAGCUUGAAAACUUUUUUUAGUAGGCGAUUGGUAUUCCUAAUUUUUUUUUUUUUUUAGUUUUGUUUGUUCUCGAAAGUCUUCGUCUCCUUGAUAGCUGGAAGUUCUCCAAAAGUAUGAAAAGCAGGAGGACUUUGUACCAUCCAUUCCGGUGUGGUUGAAUUCUGUUCAACAGCCCAAGGACUUGGAGCACAUCUUUUGUUAUUUCCACUGCUUGAAGUUAUUGUUACGACCACGAAGAAACGACAAAUCCCAACUACGGAUAUAUAAGAGCCAAAACUGCUAAGGGCAUUCCAUCCAGCGUAAGCAUCUGGAUAAUCGGGAAUGCGACGUGGCAUACCCGAAAGCCCUAAGAAAUGCAUGGGAAAGAAGGUCAGAUUAACCCCGAAAAAAGUGAUCCAAAAAUGGAUUUGACCUAAAGUUUCAGGGUAUGUCCGACCAAAGAUUUUACCCACCCAAUAGUGAAAUCCUGCAAAUAAAGCAAAAACGGCUCCCAUAGAAAGUACAUAAUGGAAAUGUGCAACCACAUAAUAAGUAUCAUGUAGAGCAAUGUCUAGCCCAGAAUUUGCCGGGACUAUUCCAGUGAGUCCCCCUAUGGUGAACAAAAAGAUGAACCCUACAGCAAAUAACAUGGGUGUUUUGUAUUGUAUCGAACCUCCCCACAUGGUAGCGAUCCAACUAAAGAUUUUGAUUCCAGUGGGGACAGCUAUGAUCAUGGUAGCUGCGGUGAAGUAGGCACGGGUAUCAACGUCUAAGCCCACAGUAAACAUAUGAUGAGCCCAAACAAGAAAUCCAAGAACACCUAUACUGAUCAUGGCAUAAACCAUGCCUAGAUACCCGAAGACCGGUUUUCCCGAAAAAGUCGAAACGAUAUGACUUAUGAUACCGGAUCCAGGCAAAAUGGGAAUAUACACCUCUGGAUGACCGAAGAACCGAAAGAGAUGCUGGUAUAAUAUGGGGUCUCCCCCUCCAGCGGGAUCAGAAAAGGUUGUAUUAAAGUUUCGAUCGGUUAAUAACAUGGUAAUUGCCCCUGCCAGUACCGGAAGUGAUAAUAAAAGUGGGAAUGCUGUCACUAGAACGGACCACACAAAAAGGGGUGAUCUAUGCAUAGUCAUUCCAGGUCCACGCAUGUUGGAGAUAGUUGUUAUAAAAUUGAUAGAACCUAAAAUGGACGAAACACCAGAUAGAUGAAGACUAGAAAUUGCUGAAUCAACUGCUCCUCCAGAAUGGCUGGUAAUACCGCUUAAGGGCGGAUAGACCGUCCACCCAGUGCCGCUACCCACUUCUACUAAGGCUGAGCUUAAUAGGAGCAAGAGACUUGGUGGCAACAACCAGAAUGAAAUAUUAUUUAAUCGCGGAAAUGCCAUGUCAGGUGCACCUAUCAGAAUCGGAACAAACCAAUUACCAGAUCCACCUAUCAUCGCCGGCAUAACCAUAAAAAAGAUCAUUAAAAAAGCGUGAGCCGUUAUUAAAACAUUAUAAAGUUGAUGAUUUCCACCAAGAAUUUGAUCGCCGGGUCGUGCUAAUUCCAUACGAAUCAGUACUGAGAAGCAUGUGCCCAUCACUCCAGCAAUGGCACCGAAGAUGAAAUAUAGAGUCCCUAUAUCCUUGUGGUUAGUGGAGAACAGCCAUCGGACCGGAUUUGUCAUAAAAUUGAGAUUCUUUCCUUUCCUUCCUUAUCAGAGAGGGGCCCCGAGCGGGGCUUCUUUAUUGAAAAAGGGGGAGUGAGGGGGGAAGGUCCGGAAAGCCCUCACUUUAUUGAUGGGACAUCUUGAUCCCCUUUUCCUCUAACCCCCCGUUCUGGUUCAGGAAAAGGUCAACGCAAGGAUCUUACUUCGAAGCAAUCUCUGGAGUUUUUCCUUAUCCGAACGGGUCUUGCAAGAAAAUAGGAUUUCAUAUUGAGCUCCAAAUAUACGCUAUUGGGAUUGGGAUAGGAUGGCUCCUACUAGCCCCCCCUAAGAACCGCACGUGCGAGUUCCCCCGCAUGCGGCUCAAGUGGCGAAGGCCCUUUCCUUCGCGCUUGGUAAGCGCUUCGCUGUAGUCAAGCUUACUGCUAGCCUAUCGGCUAGAGCCAAGCUUCGACCGCGACUGCUCGUCGCUUCUGGCCGCCUUAUUCCGUCACCCGAGAUCCAAGUCAGCACCGGCAAAGAUCUCUUGAUUCCUCGCGGCCGGGCCGGCUUGGAAGCAAGCUACCUGUCGCCUAUCUCACCCCCUUUCUUAUUAUUAGUAAGAUAGGUUGCCCCUUUCCUCUUUCUCUAAUAAUAAGGUGAGCUUCCAAAGCUCCUUCCUUCAGCUGGGUGAGCCUUCGCUUUUUGGAUCGUCUUCUGCCCAAUGCGGUACCCUCCCGUUUUUUGGUUCCCAUUGGGUUUACCUUGUUUACAGGUCGACCCCAUGGCAGCAAGAAAAGGUGAUCUUGUGCUAUACUCCGGCGAUCUCUUUCCUACCGAGGCACGCAAACUCCCAUCGUGUCCCAGAUCACAUUCCGUGAAUCGAAAGGGGAAGCCUACUCAUCCAUCAGCUCCUCUCGUAGACCGGUGCGGUUUUACGAAGCGUCUAAGCACAGUUCACUCGCGUUGAUCAAUCAAGAGCUUUGCCGCCACUCCUUAAGGUUACCUGCUGUAUCAAACACUUCUUGCAUUGUUUCCCACGCUUCAUACCCCCUCUUUCUUCUUAAGGUAAGGUAAAGGGCCGGGCAUGGUGGGGUAGGAGCACCCUGUCGGAAAGAUUUUUGGCUUGACCAAGAAGUCUUAUGUCCCCCAAGUCGCACGGCGUUUUAACCGAAGACUUCUUGCGCAAUUCAUGCCUUUCUGUUUUUAUGACCAGAAAUUGUUUCUUGAUUUCCAUUUCAAAUUGUUCUCUGGACUUUUUAUCAAUAUGAGGUGAUCGUAACACAGUAUAUAAGACUCGUGAUUCAGGCAAUCCAAUCUUCCGUGUGUAAGGCGGAAGCCCCCAAAAAAGGUUUUCCAUAAAUGGGUGAUCAAAAGAUCGAAUCACUAUGCGUAUCUUGGUGGUCGUUACUUUUGGUGGUCUUUCUUUUUGGCUGACUCCUCUUCCUGUUCUAUUGAUCAAAAAAAGCAUCCAGCAGCGCCACGCCAGUAGAAAGAGUUAAGCUACUAAGCUAAGCUGCUGUUGGGGAACUUGGUUGUUAACCAACGCAACGGCGCUAACCAAAACCGCCUCCUGCCGCCUAAUUUAAAAAAUGAAGUAGUUGGUGGAAUUCAUCACUAGCAAGACCAAGCUGAGUGAUGUUCUGCAAAACAGAAGAAACAUUUUGCAGAGUUAGAUCAUUCCCAAGGAUGUCAGUGACCAGUUGCCCGUAGGUCCAAUUAGGCGGCAGGGGGAUAUUAUGACGUUGGAAAAGGUGCUCCACCGUAUCGGUUAUGGCUCCCCUUGUUAUAUUAACCGCUGUGGUAUAAAGGAUAUCGUUUGGCCCCGCGGGAGGUUCCCCAUUUUAUUAUGCUGGUUUGAAAUUUCAUUACAUAAUGAGGUAAGGGCGUUUACAACUAUGAGUUGGUUUUGGGGCCUUAUCUUAUCAUGCAUGAUUUUUUUUUAACUUAACAUUCAUUCGCUUCUUGCUUUGAAGCGGCAUACCGGAAAAAAAGCCCUUAUUCGGAUUCGAACCGAUAACUUAAGCCUCCUUCUUAAGGGCGAACUGAUCGACUCGCGUGUGUUAAGCAUAAAAUUUCGAGCCCUCAAUCCGUUGGGCCCUUCGUGGCCCCGUUAGCUGGCUUGCCAAUCAACUCAUCCGACUGCCAACUGUCAACAGGAACAGGAAAGGCCCGCGACGAAUGACCCGUUCACCCUUUUCUAAAGUCGUUGUCUGAAAGGCCCCAUUUUUCAAAGAGGCGAGGCAAGCCCGGACCCAGAGGGAGCCCCGGAAAGAAGAGUCUAUAUUGGUGUAAAAAAGCGAGUUCCAUCUUUGACAAUAUAAAAUUCUCGAAGGUCCAAGACGAUAAGGCAAAAUCGUCUGAUCGGCUUCAGCCUGAGAUACCAUAUUCGCCGAGAGCACACUUCAAAGCGGAGGGGGCAGCUAAGCUAACAUAAGGUCGGACAGAAAGAGUCCAUUCAUGAGUUGAGGACAGGAUCUCAGAUAUCUGCUGGCUUAUUGAUGACAUUCUCUCCUGCCGGCCAAAAGGAGUGGAGACAAGAUAAUAAAAAUGAUAAGCUCGAUCCGCCUUCACUUACACAAUUUAUUGAGUUAGACCUAACCUAAGAUGGACUCAGAGGCCAAUAGUUACGACUAUCGACUAUCGAACAAAGGCGCUAUCUAGUGUAUUAUAAGAAAAGGGAAGAUGAAAAGAAUGAAGCGGAGAAGCGGGGGACGAACUCCUCUAUCUACCCUACCCUAGAAAUGGGUUGGAUCUAUUGAAUGAGAUCCUUCCGAAUGGGAUAAGAGAAUUCCUACUAUUACUAUUCUCUUUCUUUCUCUUCAUUUAAUAAAGAAAGAACACUGAACACAAACAAGAAGUCACUUUUUUUUGAAAGAGUUAUAACUUCACAAAACUUCUCAUCCCUUAUCGUAGUUUAGACUUGAUCUUAGGCUAACGGUUACCGGCUUCACGAGACCCUUUCGGUCCACACACGGCUAAGCACUAUUGGGCGGAGCUUUCUCGAUCCAAGCUAACUACUGGAAGAUUUGAAAAGAAAGGAAGUCUCACUAUACUAUAAUAAGCAAUUUAUUUCGUUGGAAAUAGAGAAAAAAUGAAAACUUUUGAAAUAUUUCUUUUUCAUUAGCUAAAGAAUAUUUACAAGGGUGAACCUUAGCUAUAUGCUUAACACAAGCGAGUCGGACUCUAGUAAAGAAUCUAGGAAUUUCUCUGUUUUUGCCGUUCCCGGCUCUACUCUAAUAAAGGAAAGGUCCUCCUCUCUAUUCUCUAUUCCUUGUGUGGGAGGUCCCUUCUAGCCGCCCGUAUCCCUGCUUCCAACCUUGAAAAAUUCGUGUUAACAGCUAAAUCAACAAAAAGGACUAGCCCAUAAUCCUAAUCUAAGGCCCAUACCUUUACUAAACGACCAAUAGCGAGCGGAUAAAACAUUAUAAUACUUAGUUAUAGUUAGAGAUUUAAGUUAUACUCUUUGUACUAUAGUUGGCUUAGACUUCCUUGCUAAAGAAAAGCGUUUUUUUCUUCUUCCUCCCUACAGAAGGUGAAAGGUGGAAGUUAGGAGAAGUCCUAGAGCCACUGGAUACUCCGAGCACUACAAGAGCGGACAAUAGAACGAGCACGGUCCUACGACAAAUGCUUCCAGCGUGCCUGUACAUCGCGUCAUCGCCGCCCAGAAAGACUUAGUCCACCUUUCCCGCCUAUCCCUCCCGCAAGAGAGGACUCGUUCUGGCUUUAAAGAGCCUCUUUUUUAGCAGUCUCGUCCAUAAGAGAAGAUUGACCAUCUCUUCUUCCAAGCUUCUUUCUUCUCGGCGUAACGAAAGAACUAGAUGAGGAGAGGCCUCAGGUUUCAAAUCCCUACCCUACGCCUUACGAGGGCGCCCUAGCCAAAUUCAAUCCCAAGGGUCAAUCAAGCCUUUUCAACUAGUUCAAAUAGUCGUCACAGUCUUCGUUCCUGCUUUCAACGAGAUUCUUAGCUGCAUCAGCUUGUAAAACUUUCUCUCCUUCACCAGGAAAGGGAGAGCGCGGACAAAGUACCAGACGAUUUGGGAAUGAUUUUGGGUAAGAAGAGCGUACGAGAAGAGUAAGCAGACGAUGUCGAUAGAAGACGAUUCGUGGGAUCUUCUCAAAGUCAAAGAAAGAGAAGAAUGAGCUAAAGAAUGGGUAUGCCCAGCCUAUGGAAUUAGAUGUCGAAUGAGUACGAUUUCGAGCAAAAAGAGAGAAGAGAAAGAAAGGUUGGACAUCUAUCGCUGCCGUGAUGACGCAGUUGAGUAUUCAUUCGAUCCACCACCCGAGGCCAGGCCGAUCAAACCUAUUCGUUUUGGGGUUCGAUCCAGCAAGUGAUCCAUAAGCACCAGUAGAAGCAAAAGCAUAUCCAGAAGCCGAUACCAACAGCAGUAGAGAAAGACCCCCGCUAAUAGAAAAAGAGGCAUAUCUGCCGAUGAUAACGAGAGCAGUACCGAUAGCACCAAUAGCAUCCCUUCCAGUUCCCUUUACUAGGUUGGGGAGCCAUCACCAGGGCCGAUGAUCCAACCCCAUACCAAGAUGCCCUUAUGGAGGUGCGUGAUUAGCGUAGGCUAUCUCCCUCGUGAGUGUUGAGCGGCUACUUUGACUUUCCCAUCCUCCUGGAGAAGUCACCGAAGGCGAAGACCAUCGGCUCGAUGGUAGCAAAAGAGGACCAUUCCUAUCUACCUACCCCGUAGAAGAUAAGAUGGACGCGGUCAGCGCCGAUAGCUUUGGCGCAUUGAUUCUCUGCGCUAGCAGGUUCCCCGAUCUUUCUUCUGUCCCAGCCGUUAGGUUAGGUCUCCGGGACUAGGUGAGGAAACGUCUCUUGGAGAGUAUAGAUUUCCCACCCCAGCCAGCAGGGGUUUGACAUCGAGGAUGUCGCUCUUAAUCCUAGGCUACGGCCGGGGAAGAUUCAAGAACCGAAUCUGAGAGAUUCUUAGCGGAGGACGUGAAUUGAUCUCUUUGUUCUAAGGCUUAUAGUCCUUUGUGACUACUUUAUUCGUUAUUGUCGAGGAAAGAAAGUCAUGCGAAAAGAGUGAACCUCUUGGUAGAGCUCUUCUUCCCUCACCCGGUAGCGAGAUCGGUUAUUUCCGGUGUUACCGGUCGAAAUAAGGUUUAUUUGCUUUGAGAUGGUCACGUAUAUAAGGAAUAAAGGAUGAUGAGUCUCCCCGGCGAGACUCGGGCAAGGAACUCAAACGAUACGUUGUCACUCGGCGCGUCCCCGUUUUCACGACUUUUUCACUACGCUAGGAAAUUUUCUUUCUUAUUAGAAAGGGAGGGAUUGAGUUUUUGAGCGAGAUUGCUCACAGUAGGGGAAAAUGGGAAUUGUUUCACUCAGUACGAAUUGUUGAUACCUAGUUUCAUACUUUACUUUACUAGAAAGUUGGCACGGAAUGACUGCAACGUCGCAUGUGACCUUUUGUCAGGAAGGGCGUACCCCCGAUUCUCGGGUGAAAUUCAAGUUCAGUAGGGUGGCAUUUUUUAUGAUGGUUUUCUUGUAACCUCUCUCAAAGAGAGUGGAAAUGGAAUAGCAUUCAAGAAUGCAAUUAAUUCCUCGUUAGUUAUAGAUGUAGAAGACAUGAAAACAUGUCUGACACUGAUGGAUUUUGAAUCCUAUUUAUAAUAGGUUACGACAGAGGAGGUAGCAUGCGAGAUUUGAUUCUCUUGCCAGAGAUUCUUCCCUCGGUAGCAGUAGGGGACAACACGAAGAUGUGUCUGACAUCGCUCAUUCUAUUUGUGGCUGCGCAAAAGAUCAUAGAAAGAAUGGGGAAUCCUUUGCUUAAGAUUAGAUUAGCUCGGCAGAGAAGAGAGAUUGACCCGAGUGGUCUUGGUCCCAAGGUCCCGAGGUUAGUCCUUUGUGACUUUUUAUUCGCCUGUCGAUUAUUGGUCCUUGAAGGACCGAAACUCAUGCGAUGAACCUCUUGCCAGAGCUUCUUUUCCUCACUCAGUAACGAGAUUAGUUUGCUUUGCUUUAAGCAAGUUACCGUCGAAAUAAGGUUUAUUUGCUCCGGGGUGGUCACGUAUAUAAGUACAAGGAAGAGAUGUCACGUAUAGAAAGAAGAAUGUGAGGCUCUCGAGUGUGACUCUAGCAAAGGAACUCAAACGCUAUGCUGUCACUCCGACUUUGCCAUUGCGUUAGGAAACUUUCUUUCUUAUUAGAAUAGAAAGGGAAGGAUUGAUUUCCUGUGUUCCCCGCGGGCUAAAAUGAAAAUGGGGAAACUCAUUAUGGCAGGGUGUUGUCUGUUCCAGACUUUAUUACUUUAUUUGAAGCUGGCAUCGAGUGCCUGACUCACAUGCGACCUUCAGGUCUCUAAGGAAAGAGGACAUACUCCCCGAUUCUCGGGGGAUACGCGUUGCGGAUUGGUUGCGUCUAUGCUUCUAAUCGCAAAAUUCGGUUAGUAUUGCAAGAUGAAGUUAGUGUGCCGGCCCUACGGCCCUAGCUACUUUCCUUCCUCCCAGCCGAGGGCAAUAACCUUGUUCUUUGUUUGAACGAGGAGAACAGCGUUACUCUAACCUUUUAGAGUGUGGAUUUCAUAGUUGCUAUUGGGAGCAGGUUUCGGAUCGACACAGGGGACAAAUCCACUGUGAGACCCUUACACCAAAAGCGCUUCGCAAACUCAGCAUACCCCGAGUGUAAGAUUAGAGACUUUGACAUUGAUAUGUCAACUCCCAACUCCGCUAGAGUCUGUUUAUAAAUCUUGGCGAUCUCGAUGCCGCAUAUAACAACAUCAUCCCCCAGGAUCGCAUACUUAUAAAACUUCUGUCCAGGGUGCACUCGCUCUGCACAAUACAUCACCAAUAAAUGGUGAGUAAGAGUGAAGAUAGGCCAAGAGGAGUAAAGUAAUAACCCAAACCAAACAAAGGCUGCCCUACUCUUAAAGUUAAGGACUUAACCUGAGGUAUCUUCUUCAAGAAAGGAGCCCUGAAUGGAUAGGACCUGAAAGCGCUACAUACAAACGCCGACAGGGAAUUCUCAAAGAGCUGCGCUAUCAACGCACUCUGUAACCCAAGCCAAGCCCUAUCGAUAGCAGACUUAAGGUCAAAUGAGUUGAUGAUUUUUAGAACGGUUCUGCUCGUUGUCAGGGCAGAAAGUGAAUGUAUCCAAGUCCAGGCUUUUGUCCUAUCCACGUGUGAUUGAUAAAGGGUGCUUUUACAUAGUUAUAAAAUAAAGAGGUUUAGCACUUUCUGUAGGCUUCAUGGUGCUGGAUUUAGAGUAAUCUCGCGACUCUCCAGCACUCUCUCAAAACGGUAUGAACGUUUGAGGAAUGUUUGGUUUAAGUCUUGCUUACCGUUUGAUUUGUGGCUAGGAAGGGGUAACCCUCUUAGUCCUUAUCUGAAGUAAGCUUAUUAAGACAGGCCUAUAAGCCCAAAGACCUAGCGGUCCCGCCAGACUUGUAUAAGUCUGAGUCUAUGGCGUAUCUCACUGAGGUCACCCUUUUACGUUCAUGGACAGCCAAUUGGCUCCAGUACGUUAAAUGGUAUUAUACUCAAGCACUUCUGCCUAGUGUACUCCUUAAGGACUUCUUCGAUGCACCUGUCUUCACUCGACACUGGAAGGUUAAGAGUGAGGACCCUGAGUUAAUCCGAUUUGGAUUGCUCUGGCGUCUUUACGAUGAGGUUGCAAAGAAAGGUCCGUCCUAUAUGGGUUUUAUCCUUGCGGACAAUAAGUUAACUCAUCCUCUUACUUUACUUAGAGGGGUCUCCGGUACGGAGUUCCUUUGGUUUGCUUCUAGGGCAACCUAGAGCAAGGGAUCGUCAUAAGACUUUCCUGUUGGUUUUUAUAAUCAAUCCACAUCCGUCGGCCAUAAGACUUUGGACAUCAAGAUAGAUUCAUAGUCCCGAGAUGAGUAAUUUCCUGAGGAAGAAGGGGAAGACAAGAAUGGUUGUUCAUUGUUCGACCGUCCAAUCCGAUACUCGUAUUUACUGGCCAGUUCGAGCAUUUCCUCUGACCGGACUGCAUUGAAUCUACUCGACGGUUCCGGAACGAGCAGUAAAGGCAGAAUCCCGCGGAAGAGGAAAACUAUCCAUGGUGUGACCUCUCUGCGGCCGGCACUCGACUCUGGCUCCCACCGAGGGAGCUGCUGUCGGAUAUCCAGAUCGUACGCUAAGGUUUGAUCCAUUCCGUGGUAGAAAGGUAAAGAGAUAGGAGAGUGAGGCUAGCUUUGGGCAUCCCCUAAGCCCUGAUGUGCCUACAACGACACUUUUAGACCUUUGUUGAUGUACAUGAAUUGUUUUUCCAGCUGGUGGAGCUAAGACAAGAGGCCUUUAGAAAGCAGAGCUAUUACCGCUGCCCACCCAAAAGAGCACGAAAAGCUGUGCCUACUUCCUGCCUGAAACCCCCAAAAGAGCAAAGCUGACUAAGAUCGGCGGGCUUGGUUUUCAUCACAAACGAAGGUUGCAUACAAGUAAAGUACAGAGAAAAGGAACGAGGGCAAGCUUUGCUGUACUGGGACUUAGGAGAAAGAGAGAGAAAGCAGCUCCUCUUCCUCUUUUCAUCCAUUCAUCUCUUAUCUUAUUCCUUAAUUCAUUUUCUUCUUUACUAGAAAGUUUUUCUCCUUCAUAGACUAUCUCGCUGUACCGAGAGAUGAGCAAACCAUAGGGACAGAGCUUAAAAGAGCUGCUGGCGGGCUUACCCCGGAUACGAACAAAAGGACGACUGGUUCGCCUAGAACAGGAGUGGGUCGCCAAAAGGAGUAGACAAACUAAGUGAAAAGUCUGUUGAAGACCAGAUGCCCUAACGCCAUAACAAUUAUAUGUAACAGCACGGCUAGAAAGAAUAAAUUAAAUUGACCAAAAACAAGGACAUGACGGAAUCACCGACCCGAAAGAGAUGUAUCGAAGCUCUCAAGCGGCCCGGCCUAUGCCGAGAGGGUUACAGCGGGCAAUCAUUAAUACGCCUUGGGGAAAGUCAUGCACCUGGCCGAGACGGAUAAAGGAAAGAUUCUCUCACCGAAAACAAGUAAACGAAAUAAUUACUAGUGCCCGAUCGAAAUGUCACGUAAGGUACUGCCGCUCCCGGAAGAGCUAAUUCGGAUAGUGAGGGAAGAAAGAGAAAGGAGUGGCUGUAAUUCGAAAACGGCAAAGAGUGCUUACUCAUUCAGCAGUCCUCGGCAAAAGAAGGAAGGGUCCCGGCUGGAAAGUCAAAAAGAGAUCAAGAUGGGAACAUCUCACUAAGCAGUGAGGCAUGAUCUUACCAAGUCCGUAGCUUUCUCACUCAUGCUUCACACAAAAUCGAGAUGAAAGAAGAUCAGACGUUGCGCUGAAUCUCCGUAUCGUCUUGUCCUACUCUACUUUACUUUUACUAGGCAUUGAUUCCCAUCUCGGUCAAUCAAUCGGCCCUCCUAGGCGAGGAGGAGCAGCUAACUACUUUCUACAUAGCACACGUUCAGGAUAGGGGACUUUAGCAAGUACUGCUGUGAUCUUUGCCCUUAGCCUAGCAGUAGGAGGAUUCUCUAUUACCGCUUUCAUGUGACCACGAAUGACUCUUGUUCUCAGACCGGGAAUCCUAUCUUCCUAUAUGGCGAUAAUCCUUCUAACUCUUUUCAAGUCAAUAAUGUGUAAACCGAUGCCAUAGCCUUACCACAUCGCAAUAGGAGCUGCUAUUGAAUCUGGUGAAGUAAGGGCUAGGCUGCAUCUCCUUGGGCCUCGGUAACAGUUAUUCAUUCUUCUUCUUUUUGCUCCUAUUGUGAAGAGCUUUUUCAACCUCCCCGAGGGGAACCGAACUACUUUUAGAGUGGGGUUACGCCCUUUCCUACAGCCCUUGCUAAAACAAAACCACCAAGAGCUCCUAUCCCGGCAGUUCUGACCUUCUUUACCUUAUUACUUAUCUUAUUCCUUACCUUGGAUAAGAUGAGAAGAUCGCAGUCUCUUCUUCCUUGCUUAGGUCUGCUCAGUACAGUAUGAGCAAGAAAAAACUGUACUGAUUAGCAAGCAGGAAAACUGUACCAAGAAUCUUACUCGAUCGAGUUCCCUUCUUUUCUCCCUGGGAGCCUACUCCAGUGCCCCAGUAGUUUCUUAUAGAGUCCCUGUCCAAUUUGUUUGAAAGAAGUAUCUUUCUUUAAACUGUCCCUGCUCCUAAUGAUAAACUGUUUUCCACGAGAGAUUCUUUCUUCUUCACUUCUGAACUGAUUCUCUCUAAGCCAGCUCGUUUCAGGUGCUUUCAUUCGCCCUUAUCUUCCUGGUAAGUCUAGUCUACCUCUUCCCUAUCUGACUAGAAAACCUUUGCAGUAGAGUAAAGCGCUCGGGCAAGGAAGUUUGAAAGCUGUCCCUUCCCUUAGGGAAGCUAGUUUCUUGCCAUCCCAUCCAAUUUUCUUUCUAGGUCUUCUUCUUUCGAAGUUUCCGUGGAUGCAGUUUCUUUCCCUGGGAAUGUUAAGAAAGGGGAAGGAUAAAAGGCCUUCUCGCUGCUUGUCAAAAUGGAACGUUUUGCAUUCUUUUGAUCUGUCGGCGGAAAUAGAUAGAUUUCUUUACCACUUGCCUAGUAUUUUACUGCUUUCCUUUCAAAAGGACUAUCCAUCUUAUGAAAGGGAAUACCUCUAUUUGAAGUUGUGUAUGGGAAUCGAAGGGAUUAGAACAGAACUAAGCUAGCCACUCCUAGAUAGGGAAAGGAAAGGUAGGAGCACGCCAAGAGGCAAGUAGACCGAGACGACAGAGCGGAAGACUUGUAGCGAGUAAGGAGAGAGAGAGGAAGAGAGGGUAGGACGUAGUUCCUGGGAUUGCUUUUGUGUGGGAUGGUCAGAUUGCUCUGCAACUCGGUUCUACCCCUGUCUUUGCUUUGGAAAGGUUCUUGAAUGUUAGAUUCCCUUUUUCUUUUUGGAAGAUAUGGUUGCUUCCAAGCCCACCUUCCGCUUGUUAAUAGUAGACUAAUGGGAGAGAGCCGUAGAUGAAAGCCUCUUCCUUAGCGGCCUCCUUCUGCUUCCGCUUCUUAUUCUUAAUCUGUAUGGCUGCUUUGGAGUGACAUUAGGCACGUAGGGAUAUGACUGCCAGUCCAGUUUUGGCCAUUUCUAUGUAUCCAGCCCUGAAGAAAGUCGAUAUGUGGAUGAUUUUCAAUCAAAGAGGGAAGAAAUUUAUCUUAGGCCACGGGAACGAGAUAGAAGAAGAGCUGCUUUAACGGCCCGCUAAGGAAGAAGAAAUUGGCUUCCUUCAUUUUAAGAUAAAGAUUGCAUUUCACUUUCACUUUCUAUAUCCAUUUUGAAUGGGUAAAAAAAAAAGCAAGAGCUUAUCAUCACCAGCAGAAAGAGACAGAGACCUUUUCUCUUUCGAAAAGGGACUGAGAUGCACCCUUCGUGCCUCAUACCCCUGAGGAAGGGAAGUUCGUUACUUGCUUGAAAGGAAGCAGUACUCUCGAGUGGGUACCUCUUGAAAAGGGCCGUCAAAAGGAUAGACUGAAUUCAAAUAAGCCUUCACUUUCAAUCCGUUGAAAUGUAUGGGUUAGGAUGACCAGCUUUCGUACAAGAGUUUACCUAGAAAAAACCUGACUGUGAGACCGACUCGGCAAAGAGAGAGGAAAGUCAACCAAGUGUUCAAUCUAUUAAAUAGACUAUUUUUCUUUCAUUAAAGUUUACAGAUAAGUAAGAUAUUGAAAGGGGCAGAACGCUUUCUAAGCUAGACUUUCUCCUUACGUCCUUCGGGGUGUGGAGAGGAUAAAUCUCCACAUCUUUUGCGAUUGGAAAGUGUAUUGGAAUCAGAUUGAAAAUCUCAGUAGGGCGACUCCUAAUCCGAUUCUACCGGGAUCAGGAGAAUCAAAUCACACAAAAAGAAGAUGAAAUAGCUGCUUAUUCUCUUCUCUUGCAGGGGCUGUCGUUUCGGGAUUGAUGGAUACCUGCAAGAACCCCUAUUCUCUAUUUUAUUAGUCUCUUUAUUUCCAACUCUUUUCCACAUCCUUAAUAAGGCACCGAGCUACGAGGCUCAAACAUUGAACACAACUAGACAGCACUAAUGCCGGUGGUGGUGGGAUAGAUAGUGAACGAGUUCCUUUAUUCCACUUAAAAAGAGGCUUUGGUAAUAGGCAAAAAGGCUACUUUCAACUUCAAGUUAGAGCAUUAGGACUAGAGCUGGGUGUAACAGAACUGGCGGGGUAAGACGCAUACUACUCAUGUGUCCUAACUUGACUCUGCUGGCUCUAAAAGGAGCUUACAAAAGGUAUUACUUAAGGCAAGGAAAGCUCGCUAUCAAAAUAGGACUGCCUUACAACUCGAACUCGCUCGCAAGGAAAGAGAAAUGGUAGGGAUGGAAAGAAGACUAUAAAUAGAAAAGCAUUCCUCGGAGUCGGAGCUAGCACUGAAAAUGGAUGACACUCUAGAUCGCUGGGAGAUUAUCUAGGCAGGGCCUGGAUCGAUAGACUCAAAAAAAUGAAGAGAGAUUUACAUUUACUUACUCGGCUGGGCUGGAAAUGGCUAAAGCUCACAUGCCCCAGGUAACCUACUCCUCAAACCUCAGAAAAUGGAAAGGGAGCUCGUCAGGUCAGAGGGUAGCACCCUACCUAUUGGUUGGCUCGUAUGUAACCCCAUCCACCAAGGGGAAAAGGCAACUUCCAAUGGCUCGAAGGGCUUCAGACUGAAAGGCAGAAAGCCUGGACCGCCAUCGAAAGAGAAAGUCCAACUUCCACUCAAACUGCCGGAAAAGGGGAUCCUAUCAGAGAACUCAGACUCAGAAAGCAGUUAUUACAGCACAGGAUUUUUCCUCUCCUCUCCACAAGAGCAAGAACGAAGAUAAAGAUUAUCUAUAAGCUCUCGGCUAUAAGAAACUGCUUUCUAGCUUUAUAGUGGGGAAGAGCCUUGGAAAAUACCCUACUAGCUUGACACCCUCGUAGCAUACACAGAAGCAUCCCAAGAACGAACCUUGUAGUAUCAGCACAGAGAUAAAGGACAGAAUUUUUGAUAGCACUGGCCUUCCUCGGGAUUACAUUACAAGCAAGAGCCUUUCACUGAACAAUCAGACAACUUUAUAUUAGCAUCUACCUUUUAUCACCCAUGUAUUUCGGGGUAAGGGGAAUACAUAUAUACUUAGACUGCGAGGAAUGCCACUACUGAGACUGGCACAAGAGAGAAUGGAACUGAAAAAGGCCCUAUAACCCGCUUUAUCACAAGAUCUAGAAAAGGGUUUCUCACUGGAUAGAUUGCAUUUGAGGAACAUCAAGAGACUAUUGAUACACGGACGGAUUAAAAGGAAUGGAAUCAGGUAAUCCCCGCAAAGAAAGAAAAGAAAGUAAAGAAGGUAAUCCAGUAAUAAAGGCAAAGCAAAAAAGGGCAAUCAGGUCUUUCCCUAAACCUAACGAGGACAAGACUAACUACUUUCUAUAAGGUGCAACCUUUUCUGUCCAUGUCCAUCUAAGAGCCUAUUCGAGAACAGUAACAAGAGUAAUGAAUGGCGGAUUCGCUCUCAAAUCGUCCUUCUCAUCCUUUCAAAGCAAAGCCAAAUCAUCGUCCGCAUGCGAAUCCUUAUCCUCAAAAGAGCGUCUUCGUGGUCGUCUCUUCCCAACAGCUUCUUCUAUUCUAUUCCGAAUUCCUACUCCUAGUAGUGCACUCGCUCGCCUUCGGGUGAGGGAAGAAUUCGUCGGCCAAAGAGACGGGCUAUUGUGUUUUUCUUGACUCAUCAUUGAUCUUUUGGAAAAGCAAGAAAGAAGAAACUGUAUCCAAGUCUAGCACAGAAGAAGCCGAGUACCAUGCCAUGUCUUCUGUUGAGUAAUAUUUUUUUGCUUUGCUUAUAGCUUUAGAAAAGUAGUCGCACAGUGAAGUCAAGCGUUCGCAACGUCUUUCCCAAGUGAAAGAGGGACAAGGUUGGCUCUCUAGCUAUAAGUCGAGUAAGCGAAAGCUGGUUUUUUAUCCCUUGCCCGCUGACUUGGAACUAUUUUUAAAGCCCUUUCCUGGGGAGUCUCGCUGUUAAAAUAAAAAGAAGGUUCCAAUGAAUCCGAGGAAAAUAGCAUCUUAUGGCCAUGACCAGCUAAAGAUCACUGCCAUCUCACGAAUUGGAUUUGAACCAAUAUCAAGCCAAUUGGGGCGAUUUUCCUCUUAGUCGAUUGUGAUGUGGCUGUAAUCCUCCUUAUUAUAUUAUAUUAUAGUACUCCUGCAUUUCGUCGGAAAACAUCCUGUCUUUUCACCGCUCCGUGGGUAGUCCUAUGCAUAGGACUAAUAUACUAUAGCCCGGAAAAUCAAAUUGAAACAAGAUAAAAUGGAAUCCGUACUAUUUUUUCCAGUUAUUAAUAGUCUUACCUUGCAUCACAUCAUAGGUAAGGCAAAGCGCUUUCUUUUAAGAAUGUAUCUGGUUCUAUCUUUCUUUCGUUAGCACCUUUUUCUAAAAGUGAUUGUAGUAAUUGAGGUUUUAUACUUUUUGGAAUAGCUCUCUCAUAUUGAGAAAUUUUUUCUAAUGGCAUUCGAUCACAGAAUCCAUUGACAGCAGCAUAAAUGACUAGAAUUUGUUUUUCAAUUGGCAGUGGUGAAUAUUGUGGUUGUUUCGGUACUUCUGUAAGCCUUGCACCUCUAUUGAGUAAUGCCUGAGUCGCAGCAUCAAGGUCUGACCCAAAUUGAGCAAGGGCGGCCACUUCGCGAUAUUGUGCCAAUUCCAGUUUUAAACUACCGCAGACUUGUUUCAUAGCUUUCAACUGAGCGGCAGACCCGACGCGACUGACAGAUAAGCCGACGUUAAUAGCAGGUCUAAUUCCUCGAUAAAAGAGCUCUGUUUCCGAACAGAUUUGUCCAUCAGUAAUGGGGAUCACAUUGGUGGGAAUAUAGGCCGAUACGUCUCCAGCUUGUGUUUCAAUGACGGGUAAGGCGGUCAAGCUACCUGCGCCUGUCUGGUCCGAUCGUUUAGCGGCUCUUUCUAAAAGACGGGAAUGUAAAUAGAAAACAUCGCCUGGGAAAGCCUCACGGCCUGGUGGUCGGCGUAACAAUAAUGACAUUUGUCGAUAUGCCACCGCCUGUUUACUAAGAUCAUCAUAGAUUAUUAAUGCGUGCAUUCCAUUAUCGCGGAAAUAUUCCCCCNNNNN